UUAUAGCUUAGUCAGGAUAAAGCGUUAGAUUGCGAAUCUGAAGUUUAAAAGUUCAAAUCUUUUA
rnacentral:tRNA from 1 species